CUCGGGGCGGCUGGGAGGCGUUGCGCCGCGAGGGAGGCCCGGCGAGGGGGGCGGCGGGAGGGCACCGCGCGUCGCGCCCGGGUCUUGGGGAUGAGGUGGUGCGGCCGUCCCUCGCGUCCCCGCGAGCACUGCGAGCUGCCCCUUCCUCUGGCCUCUAAAUACAAGGUUAGGACGAGGACCGUAGAAGUUCUUCAGGUGGAAGCACACGUCCUCGUGGCCAGACGGCAUGAGACACAUUGUGGCUGUUGUGACAUUCUGCCUCCUGACCGCACCGUGCCAGUGGCGCCGCGGACGCAGCAGGCACUGCGGUACCCGAAGAGACCGGAUAUCUUUGCAUACUUCUGUAAGAAAAAAAUAGUGAUGAACCUUCCUCUUCGUUCAAAAAUGCUUCCUCAAAACCUAUAUCCUCAGAAGUCCGGACUGAAAAAGAAUCAGACAUUCUUCAGCACUGCCAUACCAGGCUCAGAUCACAUAGUACAGAUUUGCCUCUGA
rnacentral:lncRNA from 1 species